AUAAAGGGUGUUUGCCUCUUCAUGGCAUGCGAGUGUGAUGGGCCUUGUGCCUGUCGCCUUGUAGAGUAUGGCAAUCAAGACAUACCCAACACAUAAUUUUUGUUUUCCUGGGGCAGUCGGCUGUCAGACACACCGGCGCCCCU